rnacentral:piRNA from 1 species
UAGACCUUCCUUCCGAACCUACUUCCUGU